rnacentral:rRNA from 1 species
UACGUGGGUGGCAAGCGUUGUCCGGAUUUAUUGGGCGUAAAGCGAGCGCAGGCGGUUCCUUAAGUCUGAUGUGAAAGCCCCCGGCUCAACCGGGGAGGGGCAUUGGAAUCUGGGGAACUUGAGUGCAGAAGAGGAGAGUGGAAUUCCAGGUGUAGCGGUGAAAUGCGUAGAUAUAUGGAGGAACACCAGUGGCGAAGGCGACUCUCUGGUCUGUAACUGACGCUGAGGCUCGAAAGCGUGGGGAGCAAACAGG